GAUAGCUGUGCGGCUGUUGCCCAUGGAGCAGCGACUAUGGAGCCAGGUGCUUUCAAGAACAUGCGAAGCUUAAAUCAGACACGCCAAAUGCUUAGAACAUAUCCCUGGCAUAGGAGUGCCCUGAAACUGUUUGCAAUUGUCAUUAUUUUUACCCCAGAUGACGGUAGUUGGGGAGACUCGUGGAAGCUCAAUCAGAGGGAAAAUCUCAUGGUUAAGUGCGCUGGGCACUCCACUGUCAACUGGGAAUUAUUUUCUUCUGUGGCUUUCCUUUUAGUCCCUCCAGAGUGUUUCCAAGGAGCAGCCAGGAUCCGUGACUUGCCCAGGGACUUAGUGAGUCCAGCCAGCCCAGAGUCCAGGCCCUGCUGCUCAGCCAACUCCUGGCUGCUCAAAAGCACCAGGCUGUUCUGUGAUCACUACCGCAGAAUUGCAGCCGAAUGCCAGCCACAAAACUCUUUGGCAAUUGCAGAACGCAGGUCUCAUUCCUGUGUAACCAGGGCCUUUGCACUUGCUGUGUGUUUGCUGUGCUCUUCCUCCACCCACUCCAUCUCAUCACUGUCUUCUCAGCUGAGACGUCACCGCCUCAGAAGGGACUUCUUUCUCACCACCUCUGGAGCGUCGCCAUCUUUAGUCCCCUCAGCAUAUUGA
rnacentral:lncRNA from 1 species